rnacentral:rRNA from 1 species
GACGAACGCUGGCGGCGUGCUUAACACAUGCAAGUCGAACGGAAAGGCCCUGCUUUUGUGGGGUGCUCGAGUGGCGAACGGGUGAGUAACACGUGAGUAACCUGCCCUUGACUUUGGGAUAACUUCAGGAAACUGGGGCUAAUACCGGAUAGGAGCUCCUGCUGCAUGGUGGGGGUUGGAAAGUUUCGGCGGUUGGGGAUGGACUCGCGGCUUAUCAGCUUGUUGGUGGGGUAGUGGCUUACCAAGGCUUUGACGGGUAGCCGGCCUGAGAGGGUGACCGGACACAUGGGCACUGAGAUACGCCAGAGACUCACGGGGGAGGCAGCAGGGGGGAAUAUUGCACAAGGGGCGGAAGCCUGAUGCAGCAGCGCCGCGUGCGGGAUGAGGGCCUUGGGGGUGUAAACCGUUUUCGCCUGUGACGAAGUGUGAGAGAGGGAAAGGGGUAAAGAAGCACGGGCUAACCACG